rnacentral:lncRNA from 1 species
AUCUCUAGACCAUUCGACUCAUAGUGGUGUUCUGGAAGGUGUGGGUUAUGAAACUUCUUCUUCUCCUCCUCCUCCUUCUCCUUCUUCUCCUUCUUCUUGUUCUUCUUGUCCUCCUCCUCCUCCUUCUUCUUCUCCUUGUCCCCCUUCUUCUUCUUCUUCUCCUCCUCCUCCUCCUCCUUCUUCUUCUUAUUCUUCUUCUUCUUCUU